ACUCCUACGGGAGGCAGCAGUGGGGAAUUUGGACAAUGGGCGAAAGCCUGAUCCAGCCAUGCCGCGUGCAGGAUGAAGGCCUUCGGGUUGUAAACUGUCUUUGUACGGAACGAAAGACUCUGGUUAAUACCGUGGGGUCCAUGACGGUACCGUAAGAAUAAGCACCGGCUAACUACGUGCCAGCAGCCGCGGUAAUACGUAGGUGCAAGCGUUAAUCGGAAUUACUGGGCGUAAAGCGUGCGCAGGCGGGUUAUAUAAGACAGAUGUGAAAUCCCCGGGCUCAACCUGGGAACUGCAUUUGUGACUGUAUAGCUAGAGUACGGCAGAGGGGAUGGAAUUCCGCGUGUAGCAGUGAAAUGCGUAGAUAUGCGGAGGAACACCGAUGGCGAAGGCAAUCCCCGUGGGCCUGUACUGACGCUCAUGCACGAAAGCGUGGG
rnacentral:rRNA from 1 species